rnacentral:sRNA from 1 species
AGGUUGAGUAGCUUAGUUUAUAGAGAGACGCAUUGCUAGAUAUAUAGAAUACAGUGGAAAUGAUAAGGGAUGGAGAAAGAGAGGAAGAAAAGUGGGAAUGACCUGUGAUUUCUGUCUGUAUCCGAUAUAUAUAAAUAUAUAUAUAGUUAGAUAGAGGGGGUGAGCAACGGAUAGAGCUUCUUAGAAGGGGGGGUUAUAUUCUCAUCGUCAUUGUUCAUAGUUUCGUUGAUGGAACUUACAAGGCUGCUGUGAGGGGUAACUAGUUCGGAUGCUCAACUUCAGAAGUGUAAGCAGCUUCGUACAAAGAGACAAGUUGCGAAUGAGCCCCGAACAAAUAGUUCCCGUAUGGAUGACAGAGAGUAGUUGCUGUAAACAUACAUGAAAUUCCAACAAAGGGCUCUAACAUUCCAUGC